rnacentral:rRNA from 1 species
UUAAAUUGAAGAGUUUGAUCAUGGCUCAGAUUGAACGCUGGCGGCAGGCCUAACACAUGCAAGUCGAGCGGUAACAGGAAGAAGCUUGCUUCUUUGCUGACGAGCGGCGGACGGGUGAGUAAUGUCUGGGAAACUGCCUGAUGGAGGGGGAUAACUACUGGAAACGGUAGCUAAUACCGCAUAACGUCGCAAGACCAAAGAGGGGGACCUUCGGGCCUCUUGCCAUCGGAUGUGCCCAGAUGGGAUUA